UUGACCUAUUGGGCAAAGAACAGUCCUUUCCUUGACUGCUGACAGCUGAUACACUGUUCUAACCGGAUAAGCAGGAUAUACAAAAAAAAAGAGACUGCUGAAGACAGGGUACGGCAGUCAAAUUUUCCUGCUGCUGAUAAUGGUCUGUCAGAUACUCUAGGCUUCAGCCAACGUUGGUUGCUGUGAUGUCACUGUGAGCCCGUGGGUGACUGUCCCUGCAGCCAGCUGUUUCUGUCUUUUCUUGCACCUUUGAGAAGUCGCCUGCUUGCACUUCCUGCUUACUCAGGAAGAGGAGGGGUCGCCUGCUCUCUUUUGGGGUGAUGGGCUGAGACCUGACAGUCAUCCUACAUCACAGCGUCCUGCACCUCGAAGGACAGAAGACCUUUCAGUGUAAUGAUGAACUGGGCACAGUUUCUCCAAAUCCUACAAAUAGAACUCAUGGACUGAAAGGCAUGGACCUCAAAUGAAAGAAGACAGAGGAUCACCUUGUAGCAUCUGCAGUACCAAGCAGGCAUUCCGUGAUUGUAUGUUCAAUAAGUAAAUAACCAAUAAAUGCAGAGUCCUGAGA